rnacentral:tRNA from 1 species
UGCAGCUCAGUGGCAGAGCAUUUGCCUGGCACACACAAGGUCCUGGGUUUGACUCCCAGCA